AUGUGAAUAACUGAUAUCACUGAAUUGUACCCAUGACACUGGAAAGGCAUCAUACAAUGCUUAACACAGGAUGGGCAAGGGUCCUCUGGCUUGAAGGUCCCAGCACUCAGAAGUACUAUCUCUCUCUUCCUCCACUUGCCCCACCCCCAGGAUUUUGCACUAAAGGAUCAUGCUUAGAUCCUGCUUACAAGAGCUCUGCCUGCAGCUGGAGCAACUAAGGAGUCUGAGGAUGUCUGCAGAGGCCUCUAGGAGGAGGGCCGCCAACACCAACCACUGAGGAGAGAGUUUAUCAUCCCUGUG